GAUGAACGCUGGCGGCGUGCCUAAUACAUGCAAGUCGAGCGAACAGACGAGGAGCUUGCUCCUCUGACGUUAGCGGCUGACGGGUGAGUAACACGUGGAUAACCUACCUAUAAGACUGGGAUAACUUCGGGAAACCGGAGCUAAUACCGGAUAAUAUAUUGAACCGCAUGGUUCAAUAGUUAAAGACGGUUUUGCUGUCACUUAUAGAUGGAUCCGCGCCGCAUUAGCUAGUUGGUAAGGUAACGGCUUACCAAGGCAACGAUGCGUAGCCGACCUGAGAGGGUGAUCGGCCACACUGGAACUGAGACACGGUCCAGACUCCUACGGGAAGCAGCAGUAGGGAAUCUUCCGCAAUGGGCGAAAGCCUGACGGAGCAACGCCGCGUGAGUGAUGAAGGUCUUCGGAUCGUAAAACUCUGUUAUUAGGGAAGAACAAAUGUGUAAGUAACUAUGCACGUCUUGACGGUACCUAAUCAGAAAGCCACGGCUAACUACGUG
rnacentral:rRNA from 1 species